rnacentral:rRNA from 1 species
UACGUAGGGGGCAAGCGUUGUCCGGAAUUAUUGGGCGUAAAGCGCGCGCAGGCGGUCAUUUAAGUCUGGUGUAUAAACCAAGGGCUCAACCUUUGGACGCAUUGGAAACUGGGUGACUGGAGUGUAGGAGAGGAAAGUGGAAUUCCACGUGUAGCGGUGAAAUGCGUAGAGAUGUGGAGGAACACCAGCGGCGAAGGCGGCGCUCUGGGCCGGAACUGACGCUGAGGAGCGAAAGCGUGGGUAGCAAACAGG